rnacentral:rRNA from 1 species
AGAUGGAUUAGUGGCGCACGGGUGAGUAACGCAUAGAUAACAUGCCCUUUAGUCUAGGAUAGCCACUGGAAACGGUGAUUAAUACUGGAUACUCCUUACGAGGGAAAGAAUUUCGCUAAAGGAUUGGUCUAUGUCCUAUCAGCUUGUUGGUGAGGUAAUGGCUUACCAAGGCUAUGACGGGUAUCCGGCCUGAGAGGGUGAACGGACACACUGGAACUGAGACACGGUCCAGACUCCUACGGGAGGCAGCAGUAGGGAAUAUUGCUCAAUGGGGGAAACCCUGAAGCAGCAACGUCGCGUGGAGGAUGAAGGUCUUAGGAUUGUAAACUCCUUUUGUUAGAGAAGAUA